GCGGGGCUUCCACGGAGGCCUCCGUGUAGGCCUCUGUGAAGCCUGAACUCCAGUAGGGCCCAAGCCAGCCAGGAAGGAGGAGGCAGCCAGAGAGGCCUCCACUGUUCUCUGCAGCAGAAGACCCCUUGCUGCCAGGUUCUACUCAGCAAAACUGAGGAACACAUGUUUUUGUGUUGUUAAACGUUUCUGAGACAAUGGUUUACAAAUAUCUUACCCAGGGGGAUUCAUCAUUCAAUGUUUGUGCACUGAGAAGCAAUAUACUAGUAGCAGAUGAAUGUGAACAUCUUCUCUUCCCCUCUCCUAAGCCACGGGGAAAAAGAAAAAUAGCAGAAUGAUCACAUUUCACUGCAACCUUUUUCAACUUCAGUACUGAAAAAAGAAUUGUGUGAUGCCCGCUUAUAUCUCAACGUAUUUUUUACUCCUAAAACUUUGGUUCAAGAAGGCAUUGGUUAGGAGUGGCAAUGGCUGGCAGAAAGACGAUGUCCUCUACAUAGUAUUGCUGAAUUUUUAUGAGUCUUACCUAACUGGAAGAAUUCAAGCUGCCUGCCGACAGAACAAUACUAAAGGGGUUUGAAGUAGAAAACAUCAGAGAGAAUUGAAGAUGGAAAGCAGUGUCGUUGGCAAGCAUACCCUCUGACUACAGAGCAACCUUAAAAUCCCAGCUACAUUAUUGUUUGUAUGCAACUGUUUCAAGCACAGAACUACAUACACAGGGGGUGAAGGCAGAAGGUAGAUGUAACACUUUUAGAACACUGGUGCCAUUUGGAAGCACCAUUGCAAUGAUCUAUUUUUGGACAUUCCUAUCAACAAACAUCUUUAUAGAGAAAGUAACAUGAAACUACUCCUUUGCCAAUAUUCUGUUCACAAUAGAAUAAAAACC